UACGUAGGGGGCAAGCGUUGUCCGGAAUCAUUGGGCGUAAAGAGCGUGUAGGCGGCCCGGUAAGUCCGCUGUGAAAGUCGGGGGCUCAACCCUCGAAUGCCGGUGGAUACUGUCGGGCUAGAGUGCGGAAGAGGCGAGUGGAAUUCCUGGUGUAGCGGUGAAAUGCGCAGAUAUCAGGAGGAACACCAAUUGCGAAGGCAGCUCGCUGGGACGUAACUGACGCUGAGACGCGAAAGCGUGGGGAGCAAACGGG
rnacentral:rRNA from 1 species